rnacentral:miRNA from 1 species
UUUGUGGUGUUUUUUCUUUU